AACACGUGAGCAACCUGCCCCAGGCUUUGGGAUAACCCCGGGAAACCGGGGCUAAUACCGAAUAUGACCUCUGACCGCAUGGUUGGUGGUGGAAAGUUUUUCGGCUUGGGAUGGGCUCGCGGCCUAUCAGCUUGUUGGUGGGGUGAUGGCCUACCAAGGCGACGACGGGUAGCCGGCCUGAGAGGGCGACCGGCCACACUGGGACUGAGACACGGCCCAGACUCCUACGGGAGGCAGCAGUGGGGAAUAUUGCACAAUGGGCGGAAGCCUGAUGCAGCGACGCCGCGUGAGGGAUGACGGCCUUCGGGUUGUAAACCUCUUUCAGCAGGGACGAAGCGUAAGUGACGGUACCUGCAGAAGAAGCGCCGGCCAACUACGUGCCAGCAGCCGCGGUAAGACGUAGGGCGCGAGCGUUGUCCGGAUUUAUUGGGCGUAAAGAGCUCGUAGGCGGCUUGUCGCGUCGACCGUGAAAACUUGGGGCUCAACCCCAAGCCUGCGGUCGAUACGGGCAGGCUAGAGUUCGGUAGGGGAGACUGGAAUUCCUGGUGUAGCGGUGAAAUGCGCAGAUAUCAGGAG
rnacentral:rRNA from 1 species